GCUAGUAAUCGUAGGUCAGCAUACUACGGUGAAUACGUUCCCGGGCCUUGUACACACCGCCCGUCAAACCAUGAGAGUUGGCAACACCCGAAGUCGGUAGUCUAACCGCAAGGAGGACGCCGCCGAAGGUGGGGUUGAUGAUUAGGGUUAAGUCGUAACAAGGUAGC
rnacentral:rRNA from 1 species